rnacentral:rRNA from 1 species
GGGCCCGCACAAGCGGUGGAGCAUGUGGUUCAAUUCGACGCAACGCGAAGAACCUUACCCAGGCUUGAACAGCGAGUGACCAUCGACGAAAGUUGACUUCCGCAAGGACACUCGUAGAGGUGCUGCAUGGCUGUCGUCAGCUCGUGUCGUGAGAUGUUGGGUUAAGUCCCGCAACGAGCGCAACCCUUGUCUUCUGUUGCCAUCAGGUAAUGCUGGGCACUCUGGAGAGACUGCCGGUGAUAAACCGGAGGAAGGUGGGGAUGACGUCAAGUCAGCAUGGCCUUUAUGUCUGGGGCUACACACGUGCUACAAUGGCCGGCACAAACCGUCGCGAGCCCGCAAGGGGGAGCUAAUCGGAGAAAGUCGGUCUCAGUUCGGAUCGUCGGCUGCAACUCGCCGGCGUGAAGUUGGAAUCGCUAGUAAUCGCGGAUCAGCACGCCGCGGUGAAUACGUUCCCGGGCCUU